UGGGGAAUAUUAGGCAAUGGGGGAAACCCUGACCUAGCCAUGCCGCGUGCGUGAAGAAGGUCUUAGGAUUGUAAAGCGCUUUCAGCGGGGGAAGAUGAUGACGGUACCCGCAGAAGAAGCCCCGGCUAACUCCGUGCCAGCAGCCGCGGUAAUACGGAGGGGGUUAGCGUUGUUCGGAAUUACUGGGCGUAAAGCGCACGUAGGCGGACCAGAAAGUUGGGGGUGAAAUCCCGGGGGCUCAACCCCGGAACUGCCUCCAAAACUAUUGGUCUAGAGUUCGAGAGAGGUGAGUGGAAUUCCAAGUGUAGAGGUGAAAUUCGUAGAUAUUUGGAGGAACACCAGUGGCGAAGGCGGCUCACUGGCUCGAUACUGACGCUGAGGUGCGAAAGUGUGGGGAGCAAACAGGAUUAGAUACCCUGGUAGUCCACACCGUAAAACGAUGAAUGCCAGUCGUCGGGUAGCAUGCUAUUCGGUGACACACCUAA
rnacentral:rRNA from 1 species